rnacentral:rRNA from 1 species
UCCAGAGGUGGCAAGCAUUGUUCUGAUUCAUUGGGUGUAAAGGGUCUGUAGGCUGUUCAGUAAGUCGGGUGUGAAAUCCCAUGGCUCAACCAUGGAACUGCGCUCGAAACUGCUAGACUAGAGUUUGGAAGAGGAAGAUGGAAUUCCCGGUGUAAGGGUGAAAUCUGCAGAUAUCGGGAGGAACACCAGUUGCGAAGGCGAUCUUCUGGUCCAAAACUGACGCUGAGAGACGAAAGCUAGGGGAGCAAACAGG